GGCUUACCAGGUUUAUUAGAGUUACAUCUCAGACUACAGCCAAGUCCUACGAUCAGAAAAGCGGCUCUGAUCAAGUGGUACAUACUACGUUCAAUAUAUCAUUUCGGUGAAUUGUUUGCAUGCUCGUGUCACCCCGCCAUUACAUGUCAAACGUCAGCAAGGGCAUCCGAAAGGCAUCGUUGAUUUGCAAUUUAUAUACACACAUACCAUAAAGACGCAUUUGCAGCACAUCGGUCUCCUGCCUCACUGAUAAUAGGCUGUAGCCACCCUGAGAGCGGGAAGGAAAGGCAAGACGAAAAGGCA
rnacentral:sRNA from 2 species